rnacentral:rRNA from 1 species
GCCUACGGGGGGCAGCAGUGAGGAAUAUUGGUCAAUGGUCGGGAGACUGAACCAGCCAAGCCGCGUGAGGGAUGAAGGUACAGAGUAUCGUAAACCUCUUUUGUCAGGGAACAAAGGCGGGGACGUGUCCCCGGAUGAGUGUACCUGAAGAAAAAGGAUCGGCUAACUCCGUGCCAGCAGCCGCGGUAAUACGGAGGAUGCGAGCGUUAUCCGGAUUUAUUGGGUUUAAAGGGUGCGCAGGCGGUCUGUUAAGUCAGCGGUUAAAGCCCGGGGCUCAACCCCCGCCCGCCGCUGAAACUGGCACC